rnacentral:rRNA from 1 species
GUGGGGAAUAUUGGACAAUGGGCGAAAGCCUGAUCCAGCCAUGCCGCGUGUGUGAAGAAGGUCUUCGGAUUGUAAAGCACUUUAAGUUGGGAGGAAGGGCAGUAAGUUAAUACCUUGCUGUUUUGACGUUACCGACAGAAUAAGCACCGGCUAACUUCGUGCCAGCAGCCGCGGUAAUACGAAGGGUGCAAGCGUUAAUCGGAAUUACUGGGCGUAAAGCGCGCGUAGGUGGUUUUGUAAGUUGGAGGUGAAAUCCCCGGGCUCAACCUGGGAACUGCCUCAAAAACUGCAUGACUAGAGUACGGUAGAGGGUAGUGGAAUUUCCUGUGUAGCGGUGAAAUGAGUAGAUAUAGGAAGGAACACCAGUGGCGAAGGCGACUACCUGGACUGAUACUGACACUGAGGUGCGAAAGCGUGGGGAGCAAACAGGAUUAGAAACCCCUGUAGUCC